rnacentral:rRNA from 1 species
AGUGAACACUGGCGGUAGGCCUAACACAUGCAAGUCGAACGGCAGCACAGUAAGAGCUUGCUCUUACGGGUGGCGAGUGGCGGACGGGUGAGGAAUAUAUCGGAAUCUACUUUUUCGUGGGGGAUAACGUAGGGAAACUUACGCUAAUACCGCAUACGACCUACGGGUGAAAGCAUGGGAUCUUCGGACCUUGCGCGAUUGAAUGAGCCGAUGUCGGAUUAGCUAGUUGGCGGGGUAAAGGCCCACCAAGGCGACGAUCCGUAGCUGGUCUGAGAGGAUGAUCAGCCACACUGGAACUGAGACACGGUCCAGACUCCUACGGGAGGCAGCAGUGGGGAAUAUUGGACAAUGGGCGCAAGCCUGAUCCAGCCAUACCGCGUGGGUGAAGAAGGCCUUCGGGUUGUAAAGCCCUUUUGUUGGGAAAGAAAAGCAGCAGGUUAAUACCCCGCUGUUCUGACGGUACCCAAAGAAUAAGCACCGGCUAACUUCGUG